GCGCGCGAUACAGGGUGACAGCCCCGUACACAAAAAUGCACAUGCUGUGAGCUCGAUGAGUAGGGCGGGACACGUGGUAUCCUGUCUGAAUAUGGGGGGACCAUCCUCCAAGGCUAAAUACUCCUGACUGACCGAUAGUGAACCAGUACCGUGAGGGAAAGGCGAAAAGAACCCCGGCGAGGGGAGUGAAAAAGAACCUGAAACCGUGUACGUACAAGCAGUGGGAGCACGCUUAGGCGUGUGACUGCGUACCUUUUGUAUAAUGGGUCAGCGACUUAUAUUCUGUAGCAAGGUUAACCGAAUAGGGGAGCCGAAGGGAAACCGAGUCUUAACUGGGCGUUAAGUUGCAGGGUAUAGACCCGAAACCCGGUGAUCUAGCCAUGGGCAGGUUGAAGGUUGGGUAACACUAACUGGAGGACCGAACCGACUAAUGUUGAAAAAUUAGCGGAUGACUUGUGGCUGGGGGUGAAAGGCCAAUCAAACCGGGAGAUAGCUGGUUCUCCCCGAAAGCUAUUUAGGUAGCGCCUCGUGAAUUCAUCUCCGGGGGUAGAGCACUGUUUCGGCAAGGGGGUCAUCCCGACUUACCAACCCGAUGCAAACUGCGAAUACCGGAGAAUGUUAUCACGGGAGACACACGGCGGGUGCUAACGUCCGUCGUGAAGAGGGAAACAACCCAGACCGCCAGCUAAGGUCCCAAAGUCAUGGUUAAGUGGGAAACGAUGUGGGAAGGCCCAGACAGCCAGGAUGUUGGCUUAGAAGCAGCCAUCAUUUAAAGAAAGCGUAAUAGCUCACUGGUCGAGUCGGCCUGCGCGGAAGAUGUAACGGGGCUAAACCAUGCACCGAAGCUGCGGCAGCGACGCUUAUGCGUUGUUGGGUAGGGGAGCGUUCUGUAAGCCUGUGAAGGUGUACUGUGAGGUAUGCUGGAGGUAUCAGAAGUGCGAAUGCUGACAUAAGUAACGAUAAAGCGGGUGAAAAGCCCGCUCGCCGGAAGACCAAGGGUUCCUG
rnacentral:rRNA from 1 species